UCUGGUACCUUUGGUGCCCGAGUUGUAAUUUGGAGAGUACCACUUUGGGACUGUACUUUGCCUAUGUUCCUUGGAACAGGACGUCAUGGAGGGUGAGAAUCCCGUGUGGCGAGGGUGUCAGUUCUUUGUAAAGGGUGCUCGAAGAGUCGAGUUGUUUGGGAAUGCAGCUCUAAGUGGGUGGUAAAUUCCAUCUAAAGCUAAAUACAGGCGAGAGACCGAUAGCGAACAAGUACAGUGAUGGAAAGAUGAAAAGAACUUUGAAAAGAGAGUGAAAAAGUACGUGAAAUUGUUGAAAGGGAAGGGCAUUUGAUCAGACAUGGUGUUUUGCGCCCCUUGCCUCUCGUGGGCUUGGGACUCUCGCAGCUCACUGGGCCAGCAUCGGUUUUGGCGGCCGGAAAAAACCUAGGGAAUGUGGCUCUGCGCCUCGGUGUAGAGUGUUAUAGCCCUGGGGAAUACGGCCAGCCGGGACCGAGGACUGCGAUACUUGUUAUCUAGGAUGCUGGCAUAAUGGUUAUAUGCCGCCCGUCUUG
rnacentral:rRNA from 1 species